CUCCUGUGAUGAACUCUGCUUUGUGCCAUCGUGUCUGGGCCACUGAUGUUCUGUGAUGGUAAUGAGGAUCUGAGAGGGG
ensembl:snoRNA